GGGAACCCUCCGACGGUCAAGUCAGAGAGGUGACUGGGCAACAGUGAAAUGAAGACAGAGAGCUCGAUCGAGGGAGAGAGGGAGAGAGGAGCGAGCCUGUGGUUUUAGAGUCGAGAAGUGGGGAGAGCGGAUCCCUUGCACUGUUGCCUUCCCCGAUUUAUAUAGUGGAGCACGGUAUGGCGCCGUCAUUAAUGGCGCAGACAAGUGAGGAAUUGUCAACUCACUGUAGACUGUCAGAGUCGCCGUGAAAGUGUCAUGUCGC
rnacentral:lncRNA from 1 species